rnacentral:rRNA from 1 species
GACGAAGGAUGCAAGCGUUAUCCGGAUUCAUUGGGUUUAAAGGGAGCGUAGGUGGGUUGGUAAGUCAGUGGUGAAAUCCCCGAGCUUAACUUGGAAACUGCCGUUGAUACUAUCUGUCUUGAAUACCGUGGAGGUGAGCGGAAUAUGUCAUGUAGCGGUGAAAUGCUUAGAUAUGACAUAGAACACCAAUUGCGAAGGCAGCUCACUACACGAAUAUUGACUCUGAGGCACGAAAGCGUGGGGAUCAAACAGG